GUGAGCGAGCGGGUGAGCGUGGGUGGGCGAGUGGGUGGGUGAGCGAGCGGGUGAGUGUGGGUGGGUGAGUGGGUGGGUGAGCGAGUGGCGAGCGAGUGGGCGAGCGGGUGGUUAAGCGAGUGGGCGGGUGGGUGGUUAAGCGAGUGGGCGGGCGAGUGAGCGAGUGGGCGAGCGAGUGGGCGAGCGGGUGGGCGAGCGAGCGUUGUCGCGACCUGCAGCGCCGUAUCGCACAGACGGGUUCAUGAUCCCCCCUCCGUCACGGUGGCGACCCGGUAGCCCGGGGAGUUUGAAAAGCGCGACGCGAAUCUGCACCUGACCCACCAACCCCUUAGCACCACCACCACCGCAUUUCAAAUGGCAGAUGUGUCUGCGUAGAGGACUGCAAGUGUUGCAUUGAAUGUAUCUCGUAUGUAGUAGUAGUAGUAGUUGUGUGUGUGUGUACAUUCUAAACUAAUUCUAUUUUUUUAUUUUCACCAGGUAAGGUCCCACUAAACUCCGUCGCUCUUUUUCAGAAGCGAUGGUGAUGAGAGAGAGACACGCAGACUCCAAAUAUACAGCAGCAGGCAUCGUCAGUGUCGGGAUCGAACCCACGACCUCCUGUAUACCAGGCGAGUUAGUCAACAUCUCAUAGCCACCGUGAUGGUGAUGAGAGAGAGACACGCAAACUCCAAAUAUACAGCAGGCGUCAGUGUUGGGAUUGAACCCACGACCUCCUGUAUACCAGGCGAGGUAGUCAACAUCUCCGAGCCACCGUGCAUGUUUUAUGUGGACUGGUGGCGCAGUGGUUAGCGAUCCCUAAUCGCGGCCAACACCGCCAGUGACGAUUUACCUGAGCCGGUCGUGGGCCUCCCCUAGGUCGACUCAGCCUCAAAAUGAGUACCCGGUACUGCGUGCAAAUAUCGCCACUCGGAGAGACAAAGGCGGCCGGGGCUUGGUUGCUGGCCACCCACCCCCUCGUGUUGCUACUCGCUACCCACAGCACUUGCCCCACAGCCUGUUAGAGGCUACACGGGGGAUCUUUGUCUUUGUGUAUGUUGCUGCUACUCGCUACCAACAGCACUUGCCUCUACAGCCUGUUAGAGGCUACACGGGGGAUCUUUGUCUUUGUGUGUGGCUACCAACAGCACUUGCCCCACAGCCUGUUAGAGGCUACACGGGGGAUCUUUGUCUUUGUGUAUGUUGCUGCUUCUCGCUACCAACAGCACUUGCCCCUACAGUCUGUUGGAGGCUACACGGGGGAUCUUUGUCUUUGUGUAUGUUGCUGAUACUUGCUACCAACAGCACUUGCCCCCACAGUCUGUUAGAGGCUACACGGGGGACCUUUGUCUUUGUGUAUGUUGCUGCUACUCGCUACCAACAAGCACUUGCCCCACAGUAUGUUAGAGGCUACACGGGGGAUCUUUGUCUUUGUAUAUGUUGCUGCUACUCGCUACUCGCUACCAACAGCACUUGCCCCCACAGUAUGUUAGAGGCUACACGGGGGAUCUUUGUAUCGCUGUUAACUCGCACGGCUUUCCCCGUAUUCCUUUGCAAGGAAAUUGAGUUUUGAGGUGCAUGGGCCAUGCAGACGUUUGAUAGCGGGAAGCAGCAACAAGAACAACGAAACUAAUUCUAGAUUUGAAGUUUUCGUGACUUCAAGAGUCCAUACUCUUUGUUUUUUAGGUAAAGUCAUUUCGGUAAAAAAUUAAAAUAAAAUAAAAAUAAAUUAAAAAUCACGACGUUUCAGAGGCAACACAAGCAUCCGUCUUCAGGUGGAACCGUCACAACAAAAACUAAAAUACUAUCUCGAUUUAAAGCUUUCGUGACUGCAGGGAUUCAUCUUCUUGGUUCUUUCGGUAAAGUCACUUAGAAGGGAAAUAAUAAAAUAAUAAAAAGAAAAAUAAUAAAAUAAUAUAAUAAAGCUAUGUUUUAUUUUUCUUAAAUAAUAAAAUUAUAAAUAAUAAACAUAAUAAAAUAAUAUAAUAAAAUAAAAAUAAAUUAUCUACGUGACUUUACCGAAAGAACCAAGAAGAUAAAAUAAUAUCAUUCGACCUUCUUUGCCAGUACCAAAAUAUAAUAAUAGGGGUUUUUUUCCCCCGAUUUCUUUCUGGCAACAAAACUUCAACUUUUUUUUACGAGGAUUCGUGUUAUUGCAUUCACCACAAUAUUUGGUACGGACCAAUCAGUUUCAAGGACAAUGCAAAUAUUAUCAGAAUGUGUGUUUUUUUUAAGAAAGCUGUCUCUUGUGUGGACCAAUCAGUUUCAAGGACAAUACAUCAUGUUAUCAGUGUGUUUUUUGUUUGCAUUUUGACCGCAAGUAUUGUGGUUAACGCAGACAUGAAUCCUCGUAAAAAGGUUUCAAGUUUUGUCGCCAGAAAAAAGGGGGAAAACCCCUAUUAUUAU